rnacentral:rRNA from 1 species
GACGAACGCUGGCGGCGCGCUUAAUACAUGCAAGUCGAACGGAAAGGCCUGCUUUCCCUUGUGGAUUGCGGGUACUCGAGUGGCGAACGGGUGAGUAACACGUGAGUGAUCUGCCCCCAACUUGGGUAUAAGCCUGGGAAACUGGGUCUAAUUCCCGAUAGGACUGCAGGGUGGUGCCUGUGGUGGAAAACGAUUUUCUAGUGGUUGGGGAUGAGCUCGCGGCCUAUCAGCUUGUUGGUGGGGUAAUGGCCUACCAAGGCGGCGACGGGUAGCCGGCCUGAGAGCGUGGACGGCCACAUUGGGACUGGGAUACGGCCCAGACUCCUACGGGAGGCAGCAGUGGGGAAUAUUGCACAAUGGGCGGAAGCCUGAUGCAGCGACGCCGCGUGGGGGAUGACGGCCUUCGGGUUGUAAACUCCUUUCGACCGCGAGGAAGCCACCUGGUUGGAAGGGUGGUGACGGUAGUGGUAGAAGAAGCACCGGCUAACUACGUG